GAUGGCUAAAGGAGUCAAGAACAUGUUUAGAGGUUGAACAUUAAAAUCUCUCUGCCAUAGAUACAGAACAGUUACGCUGGUUGUUGGUCCCGAACAAUCCAAGAUCUGAACUUUCUAUGUUAUAACAUAAACAAUAGUUAGAAUGUAAAGAGAAUUCUAGCAAGAGAAAGAAUAUGAAGAAAGAGCUAGUAAUAGCAUAUGCAGCGGCAAUUAAAUCUAGGACACGUAUUACACUUACUAACUCUCUCAAACACAACAAUGGUGUGCUGGUGGUUGAAAAAUAACAAAAGUACUGAGAAUGCAAGCAACAUACAGAACAUGAAGAAGGAGCUGCAAUUCCAAUUACAUAAGGUUUCCAAAAUUCAGAACUCAAUAUCCAAACCAGGCAAUCAGAUACUAAGUAUUUCUAUUUAAUAUGAAAGAUUAUGCACCAAUCCGAUUUGAAUCAACGAUUUUUUAAAGGUAUAUGAAGCAGAAGCAGAAGCAGAAUCAGAGAAUAGAGAGUGACCAUGUUGAGCAAUGAAUCUUACAUUAACCGAGAUCGAUGCAGAGAUUCCUCACUAACACUCAUCUCACACAACCUUUUCCCCUCCAUUGUUGGUUGACCGUAUCAGAGCUUGCUGUAGAGGACGAUGAACCCUAGAAACAAACGUGGACAGUCAUAAAGAAGGCGAAGGUCAGAAGGGGAAGGAAAGAAAGGAAGAAGACAUAACCUCAGGUCGAAGAUUCACAAAGCAAUUCUCAUGUGGAUUGAAGAUAUCGAAACUCAUAGCUGUAUCAGAGAUCGAAAGAGAAGAUUGUUUUAAUUGCGGAAGAACAGCAAACCCUAGAAAAUCUUGCGGCUGUCUCUCUAUCUUCGGGCUGAAUCACGUGAAAACACAUAAUUGAAACGAUGAGUUUUUCUCUUGGGACACGUGUCGCUACAACAUAAAACGAAUUAUCUAUGUGGCAUCCUAUGUGGACACUCUAGGAGAGAA
rnacentral:lncRNA from 1 species